AGAGACGAAACAAGUGAUGUGGNGUAAAACUUAUAAAAGACGACCUCAGUUCGGAUUGAAGGCUGAAAUUCGCCUUCAUGAAGUCGGAAUUGCUAGUAAUGGCAGGUCAGCAUACUGCCGUGAAUACGUUCCCGGGCCUUGUACACACCGCCCGUCACACCAUGAGAGUUGGAGAUACCCGAAGCCUAUGAGCUAACUUUUAGAGGCAGUAGUCGAAGGUAGAAUCAAUGAUUGGGGUGAAGUCGUAACAAGGUACC
rnacentral:rRNA from 1 species